CUACGGGGGGCUGCAGUGGGGAAUAUUGCACAAUGGACGCAAGCCUGAUGCAGCCAUGCCGCGUGUAUGAAGAAGGCCUUCGGGUUGUAAAGUACUUUCAGCGGGGAGGAAGGGAGUAAAGUUAAUACCUUUGCUCAUUGACGUUACCCGCAGAAGCAGCACCGGCUAACUCCGUGCCAGCAGCCGCGGUAAUACGGAGGGGUGCAAGCGUUAAUCGGAAUUACUGGGCGUAAAGCGCCCGCAGGCGGUUUGUUAAGUCAGAUGUGAAAUCCCCGGGCUCAACCUGGGAACUGCAUCUGAUACUGGCAAGCUUGAGUCUCGUAGAGGGGGGUAGAAUUCCAGGUGUAGCGGUGAAAUGCGUAGAGAUCUGGAGGAAUACCGGUGGCGAAGGCGGCCCCCUGGACGAAGACUGACGCUCAGGUGCGAAAGCGUGGGGAGCAAACAGGAUUAGAUACCCGAGUAGUC
rnacentral:rRNA from 1 species